rnacentral:rRNA from 1 species
UACCAGCACCCCGAGUGGUCGGGACGAUUAUUGGGCCUAAAGCAUCCGUAGCCGGUUUUACAAGUCCUCCGUUAAAUCCAGCUGCUUAACAGAUGGGCUGCGGAGGAUACUAUAAGACUAGGAGGCAGGAGAGGCAAGCGGUACUCAGUGGGUAGGGGUAAAAUCCGUUGAUCCAUUGAAGACCACCAGUGGCGAAGGCGGCUUGCCAGAAUGCGCUCGACGGUGAGGGAUGAAAGCUGGGGGGAGCAAACCGGG